UACGUAGGGUGCAAGCGUUGUCCGGAAUUAUUGGGCGUAAAGAGCUCGUAGGCGGUUUGUUGCGUCGGCUGUGAAAACCUGAGGCUCAACCUCAGGCCUGCAGUCGAUACGAGCAGACUAGAGUGUUGCAGGGGAGACUGGAAUUCCUGGUGUAGCGGUUAAAUGCGCAGAUAUCAGGAGGAACACCGGUGGCGAAGGCGGGUCUCUGGGCAACAACUGACGCUGAGGAGCGAAAGCGUGGGGAGCGAACAGG
rnacentral:rRNA from 1 species